UACGAAGGGGGCUAGCGUUGCUCGGAAUGACUGGGCGUAAAGGGCGCGUAGGCGGACUGCACAGUCAGGCGUGAAAUUCCUGGGCUUAACCUGGGGACUGCGUCUGAGACGUGUGAUUUAGAGUGAGGAAGAGGGUCGUGGAAUUUCCAGUGUAGAGGUGAAAUUCGUAGAUAUUGGAAAGAACACCGGUGGCGAAGGCGGCGACCUGGUCCUUGACUGACGCUGAGGGACGAAAGCUAGGGGAGCAAACCGG
rnacentral:rRNA from 1 species